AAGCUCUGUCCCCAGUUCUCAGCUCCAAGUCCUCUAGUCUAAGAGAGCUGGACCUGAGUAACAACGAACUGAAAGAUUCAGGAGUCAAAGCGUUGUGUUCUGGACUGGAAAGUCAACACUGCAAACUGGAAGCACUGAGGCUGUCAGGCUGCCUGAUCACAGAAGAAGGUUGUAAUUCUCUCACCAGCGGUCUGAGCCCCAACCUCUCCCAUCUGGAUCUGAGCUACAACCAUCCAGGAGAGGCAGGAGUGAAGCUGCUGGAGCAACUGGAAACUCUCAGGGUGCAGCCUGCUGGAGUCCAAUGGCUGAUCCCAGGUCUGAGG